UGAACAACAGAAAGAGAGCCUCUCUCAGGCUACUUGAUGAAAAUUAAAGCCCACUGGAAAAGUGAAGAAAAUCUCUGAAAUGAAGGCACACCAGACCACCAUAGUUGAAAUUGGGCCAUGAUUGAGAGGACGAGGUGCAUCUGUAAUCCAGCAGAACCUGUGGCAUGGAAUGUAGCCAGAAAGAGGCUGAGGUUCAUUAAACUGCAUGUCUACAUAGGAUGUUUUAUCUUGGUGCAGAUACAAAAAAAAAAGAAGGAACAACAGUCGUGCCAAAGUGGGCUGCGGCCACGUGCAGCCUAUUUGCCCAAGGAUAAGGCUAUUAAGAAGUUCCUCACUGGAAACAUAGUAGAGGGUUCAGCCCUCAGAGGCAUUUCCAGAGUGUCUUCCAUGCUUAUUUGCUUCCCAACAUCCAUGUGAAGCUGCAUUACUGUGUGAGUUGUGCCAGUUACAGCAAGGUGGUCCGGAAUCCAUCUCCUGAAGCCUGGAAGGAUUGAACACCUCCACCUUGAUUUAGACCCGCUGGUGCUGCCCCACGACAUCCACCAAAGCCCAUGUAGGAGCUGGAUCUUAAUG
ensembl:lncRNA